AUUGAACGCUGGCGGCAGGCCUAACACAUGCAAGUCGAACGAGUGGCGGACGGGUGAGUAAUGUCUGGGAAACUGCCUGAUGGAGGGGGAUAACUACUGGAAACGGUAGCUAAUACCGCAUAACAGCGGAUGGGCCCAGAUGGGGGUAGCUAGUAGGUGGGGUAAAGGCUCACCUCGGCGACGAUCCCUAGCUGGUCUGAGAGGAUGACCAGGCACACUGGACCGGAGACACGGUCCAGACUCCUACGGGAGGCAGGAGUGGGGAAUAUUGCACAAUGGGCGCAAGCCUGAUGCAGCCAUGCCGCGUGGAUGAAGAAGGUCUUCGGGUUGUAAAGUACUUUCAGCGGUGAGGCGUUACCCGCAGAAGAAGCACCGGCUAACUCCGUGCCAGCAGCCGCGGUAAUAC
rnacentral:rRNA from 1 species